rnacentral:rRNA from 1 species
AACGUAGGUCCCGAGCGUUAUCCGGAUUUACUGGGCGUAAAGCGUGUUCAGGCGGUCUAGCAAGUCGGGCAUGAAAUCUCUCGGCUCAACCGGGAGGGGUUGUCCGAUACUGCUGGGCUUGAGGGCAGCAGAGGGUGGUGGAAUUCCGGGUGGAGUGGUGAAAUGCGUAGAGAUCCGGAGGAACACCGAAGGCGAAGGCAGUGUCCUGGCGAGUAUCCUGACGCUGAGGUGCGAAAGCCAGGGGAGCGAACGGG